AUGAGUCAUCGAUAACCUCAGAGAAGAUGAGUUCCAGUCCAUGAACGAUGAGUGAACAAGAAGGGCCAUGCUUAGACUUAUGGACCACAAGUUAUUCCCAUUGAUGAAACACACAGAAACUGAAUAACAAAGGCACCUACGAGUCGUCAUUCCUUCGACGAGCCCUAGGUGGCCUUCCGUUGGUGAAACUGCCCAGAACCGGAU
rnacentral:lncRNA from 1 species